UCAGACAAGAAAAGUUUUCUUGGUGGGUUUUGAAACUUGCAGAAAAUGGGUGAUCAGAAAGACCAAAAGGACAUCAAGGUUUCGCCUGGUCCCAUCCCUGAAGGCUGGGUUUUGGAUACUAAGCUCACUGAAUAUGGUCAUCAAGUCGAGUGCUACCUAUGUCCAGCCACUGACCAGCGUUUCUACACUUACGAAGAUCUUAUGCGAUAUGUGAGAUAUGCCAAAGCUGCUAAGGUUUCCAUCUAUAGUCCCGUAA